AACGAACGCUGGCGGCAGGCUUAACACAUGCAAGUCGAGCGCCCGCAAGGGAGCGGCAGACGGGUGAGUAACGCGUGGGAAUCUACCCAGUUCUACGGAAUAACCCAGGGAAACUUGGACUAAUACCGUAUACGCCCUACGGGGGAAAGAUUUAUCGGAAUUGGAUGAGCCCGCGUUGGAUUAGCUAGUUGGUGAGGUACUGGCUCACCAAGGCGACGAUCCAUAGCUGGUCUGAGAGGAUGAUCAGCCACACUGGGACUGAGACACGGCCCAGACUCCUACGGGAGGCAGCAGUGGGGAAUAUUGGACAAUGGGCGCAAGCCUGAUCCAGCCAUGCCGGGUGAGUGAUGAAGGCCUUAGGGUUGUAAAGCUCUUUCAGUGGGGAAGAUAAUGACGGUACCCACAGAAGAAGCCCCGGCUAACUUCGUGCCAGCAGCCGCCGUAA
rnacentral:rRNA from 1 species